UCAAUUUAAACUUUGCUAACAAUAUGCGUGCACUUGCCAGAGAGGUGCAUUCAAUACUUCCCUACUUGAGGGGAUCGCAUAUACUAAAUUAAAAUGCAGUGAUCACAUAACAGAUUAUAAAUUGUUUUCUUAAUUUACACACACUGUACACCUGCUUUCCCAAAUCGGCAUUACCAUAUCACCGUAUAUCCAACCUUUAGGCGCAACAGGCAACCUACAAUUGGAGUGAUGGUUCAGUAAGAAAGAACAUUUAGCACAAAGAAAGAUGAAUUUUGAAAAAAAAAACUUGCAGUGAACACAGAAAAAAUCGAUGCUCGACUGACUACUAAUACCAUCUCAAAAUAUGCAAGAUGCAAGAUGCUUGACUGACUACUAAUACCAUCCAAAAAUCAAUGCUCAACUGACUACUAAUACCAUCUAAAAAUAAGAGGUCAAACCAAUCAAGUGAAAGACUUUUGAACUGGAAUUAGACACAUUGUACAUCAUCAAUCAUUAGGAGCUGGACCCCAUAGAAUCUUUUCGGCUUCGGUUGUAUGAUUAGAAUUUGGCUUCAAACUAACUAAACUAAAGAGUUUUUUUCCUUGUCCACUCUUUUGUUGCUAAAUUAUGAUCCAUAAAGUUAUAGUGCAUCUUGGAAAGGUUAUAAUAGUUUUGGUUACAGGGUUGAUGAUAUAUCUAUGGAUAUUAUGUUGACUGAUAGCCCAUGGUUCAUCUGAGCUCACUUUGGCGCGAAUGCGGUGAUGAAGGUUCGACCUGCAGUUUCAGAUUUCCCUUGACUCAUUCAGUGCAGCUUCCUUCGUGACGUAUGCCACAUGCUAAUAUCAACUUUCUCAUUGUAUAUAAAUUUUCAGGAGAAAAAAGGAAAAAGUUGAUACGGUUUUCCUUGCAGCUCAAUUUUCACACCCUUCCCAGGUUAAUAUUCACUGCUUUCUUUGGACCAACUUUAUGCUGCCUUUUCUCUGCACACACCUCAUCAAAACUGAACCAAGAGGCAUCACAUAGGUUUAGAUGGCGCGUGUGAACAUGGUUUAAGAUAUGAUAUUUCUUGGAGAGAGCAAACUAACCCUUUCAAUUUCACGAUCUAUUAACUAAAAUAUUGAUCGACGGCACAUUCUGAUGCUUCAACUUUGUUUUUGCCUUAUUGUCACUUAAUUAGGUAAUAUAGUAAGAAAGAAUACUGAAUGAGACUCGAAGGAAUUUUGAUGUCAACUCGUGAUUAGCAGAACUUAAAAUGAUCUCUUUAGACAAGUAUCAGAUUAAAGAAACCAAUAUAGAACCUUAUUAAAUAGGGACUUAGCUGGAAGGUGAGAAAGAAAUUACAAUUGCUAUUGGUGCAACAAUACAAAAUUUAGCUUAGCUAUCUAUCAGAUUUCUUGACUCAAAUUCCAGCUAGCAAAGACGAAGAUUGAAUCCCCAAAAAUCCAUGCUAAACCAAAUAUAGACUUGUUGAUUUACCUCAAUUGAAUUAUUUAUAAAACAUUAUACAUGAACUUGUUUUAAAUACAUGACAAAAUCUAGCUGAGCUAAACCUUCCUGGAAUCUUAUGUGGAUUUUUAGAGUUUAGACCAAGGAGAAAUGGGGAAAUAAUUCGGGACAGAGGGUAGUGCACACGGGAGCCUCAGAAUAGCGGGUAGCCUAGCGAUGUUUAUAGGAAAAAGGUGGCUUUUGUCUCAUCAGUGAGUUUGUUGCCCAAUGCCCGUGCUACUGAUAUAAUGUCGUUCAUGACAUACCUCGCCCAGUUCAAAUUCGGGAUGUCAUCCAAAUUUUAUGAGAGCCACAAAAUAUGUUGGAAGAAUAACUACGGAUCAAAUGGACCUCGAACUUUAUCUCACCGUGAACACCACAUCAAUCACAUUCUAACAGGAGGCCUCAGCCAUCGCCAAGGCAUCUCAUGGAACAUGGGGGAAACUCCAAAUCGAACAGAGCAACACAAAAAUAGGAAUCAGGCAUGAGGAAAGGGGAAUAAGCUAACCUGGGUAAUGGGAUCAGCAGGCCCAGGAGGGUGCCACCAUGCCAGUGGCCUCCACAAGAAUAAUCUUGCACACGAUGUCGCCUCAAGCAAUGGAUCGCCAACACCAGAACCGAAGCACUUGUUGUUCAUGGUUUCAGUUAUGAGAUAUCCCGUGAACUGAGGUACAAAUCACAAAUAGGUCAGCUCAUGAGCUAAAGAAUAUAAUCUUAUCCAAGAAAAGAUAAAAUAGUUCGCAGCAACAAAGCUUUAUUAAGUUCUUUACUAAGAAAGCUAACUUAGAAAUUACAGCCCAAACAGAGAAUAAAUGGUUUAGAACAGGCAUAAAUCUGAUCCAUCUUCCAUCAUCAAUAAUAAAAACAGGAAAUCUUGAAAUCCUUGAUCCAAACAUCAUAAGUCACAAAAGUCGAAGCAAACAGUGAACUGAAAAUUACUCUGAAAAAAACUUUUCUUUUGUUGACUCUAAACGAAGCCCAUGCCCUGUUACUCCAUUCUUUUGUUGACUCUAAAUGAAGCGUGAUUUAUAUGUUCGAUUACAGCCAUGACUUGGCGAUAUUCUAAAGAAUAUAACUAUAAGACCAGAGAUAGAAAACUAACAGAGAAUGCUGAGAAUAGAGAACACCUGUAAUAUAGUAAUGGUACAAAAAUUUGGUCGUAAGGUUGUGUGUGGCCGACAAGGGUGGCUCAGGGAGCGCACCAUGCAGCAGCGUGCGAGCGCUGCGGAAGAUGGGGAUGGGAGGGAGGCGUUUGCGUGCGCAUUUGGUGAUCAAAUGGCUCAGGAGGGGACCGAUCUUGGGAUAGGAUCAGUCAACCAACAUGUAGUAGUGACCUGACCGGAAAGGUAGGAUUUGCAUGAGCAGGUCAACAGAGAAUUAUAAUGUCAGCAUAUAGCAAUAAAACCAAUGAGCACUAUCAAGUUACCAAAAAGAGGGCGUUUACCGACAGCUUACCGUUAAUUUGCAGUCGUACCACUCAGUUAAAAUUAAGAAUAACCACACCUCAUUCAAUUAUGAUUCAAACAACAUGAACAAUUAUCCGUGAAGUUCAUUUCUAAACUACGCGCUUAUUAAGAUAGGUGUUUACCGGUAAUAGGGUAAAAUGAUACAUAAGUUUUAACUUCAGGAUAGGUAUUUACUGUAUUUUUCAGAGAUGGACAUGCGGGUCACCCCAUUAACUCAACAAGUAGAUAUAUUAGCUAGCUAUUGGUGUUCUCAGAAACCAUAAAUAGUUUAAACCGAAUUAUGUGUGCUUGUGCAGAUAGUAUAGAUGUAUGAUGGAUUCCUAGUUGCCGUGAUCAAUGAUCAAGGAGAUGCUUCUACAUGCAUACGCAUAGAACUAAGCAUUCAUUCUUCUCCUUGAUUCUAUUCUCCUGUUAAGCUCUCAAAUUUCUACACAUUUAUGAUAGAAAAAUGUGAUACUACAACUGCAGUUUAUAUUGCUGUAUUUAUAUGCUUCCAUACACAUGCUAUGAAGCACGAAACAUGACAAGGAAAAUACAAAGGAUAGCCUAAAGCAAAACAAUGGGGUUAACUAAAAUUUACCUAUUCUAAACUUGUUUCUUUCUGAACAGAGCAUCAACUCAAACCACAUAUAGCAGUGAAGCAACAAUGAUAUUUUCUCUAAAAAUCCAACACAGUGCCACAGACAGCACACAACACACUUAAGUACAAAAAAUCAUCAUUUUCCUUUGAAAGGGAGGGCGUUGGUUGGGUAAUGUGUACCAAAAAAUCAUGCCAAAUUUGAACGAAAGCCUGGGCAACCACUGAGACAUAAAGGAGUCAGAGGGGAGGUAAGGAGGAUUGGGAGUAGGUCAUCUAUGCAAGGAAGAUCACGGGGACCAAAAUCCUACAUGAGACUGAAAUGGAAAGGUUGCCCAAGGCAGACAAGAAUCAUCGGAAUCAUUUUCGAAUCUAAAAAUGGAAUAUAGACAGCAGUGACGAUAGUAGUAGAUGCAGAAUUAUGCUUAAGAGCACAACUGAAAUCUAUAUAACCGUCGUAUUCAUGUGCAGACAUAUCUUCAUCACAUCAUCGUUUUCCAAGUAUAGUUAAUAAGAAAUCCGAUUCACAUAUGUCCUGGUCAUCCCAUUUAUGCUGAAUAUAUUCAAGGCACUUCUGUAACAAUUUUUUUUAAAUACCCACUGUUAUCUAAUAUCUAGUAAACUGGGUACAAAAGACGGAGGCAAGAAGCCCAUGUUCUCUCAGAUCGAGUAUAUCCCUGUCCUGAAUGGUGUAUCCAAGGUUCCCCAUGUCAUGUUUAAGUACGAAUCACUUGUUUAUUGUGACAUGGACCACUGAUAUCUGAAAUAUAUGAAAAGACCCAUCAGGGCCCAGGAAAAAUAUGCCCUCCUAAAAGUAAAAGAAUGUCCCUGCUAUUUAAAAGAAGAUUGGCACUAAUAAGAGGCUAAGGAGAAGCAAAAUAAGCAAAGUAAAUGUCUGAAAAAUAAGAGGAGAGCAUCUUCGACAUUACCUAGAUACAUUCAGAAAAUCAAAAGCACCUGAACUAACAACUAAAACAGUGCCCUGAAAUAGAAUCCCAGACAUGAAGCUAUAAGCAUAAAUAACAACCAACGCAAAAUCAAAAGAAAUAAAAAUAUGUGCAUCACAAAAUACUAUUAGGAGAUCAGGUCUACUGUACAAAUAUGAGGCAGCUGCCAUACAAUCUCUAGAUGCGAAACAGCUGCAUUCAUAACUAUAUAUGCAUUAGCAAGAUAAAUCACUCUACCGAUUUGUAAGCAGCAAACCAGCUCAAAUGUAGUCAUCAUCAGUAACUCUUGCUUCGAUAAUAACAGCCAACCACCAUGUAUAUCCAUCCAUGAUACAUAAAGGGGGAGAAGUAAAUUACGUUGAAUGAGAAUUAAUUAAUUGCCACGCGGCUGCAGCUGCCAAACAUGCCACGGUUAAAUACAUGGAUUUUGUCAGGGAUCUGGGUACAUGAAAAUAGACAAAGUAACAAAUCAAUUAGAAGGAGCCAAAACAAGCAGAGGUGGUCAGUGAGAAUACCCGCAGGCGCCCCAACAGGCUAUAGACACCAUGUCACCGUGACAUGAGCCGAGACAUGGUGCCUAACAUGAGCCGAGACAGGCCGGCGAAACUGUAACAUGACGUGCAACAUGUAAGAAAGUAAGCAUCCAGGGAAGAUAGGCUGGCAGGCCAAGCAACUAAAUUAGAACACAUACACCCAUUUCUUGCACAGAGCAGUGCUUGUAAUCCCUUUAUUUAUUUUCAUUAACAAAGUGAGAAUGCAGGGUUAUUUUUUCAUUAAAAAAUGUGAGAAUGCAGGGCGGAGAAGGAUGAGGAAGCAACGAUAGAAAGCUCUAUUACCUCACACGGCCAUUCGAACUAAUCACCAGGAGACAAAAGAACAUAUUAGGCUCUAGGAAUUAACACAACCUCUAUUGCUUUGUUCAUACACACUCAAUUCUGAAAAAGGAAAACAUAAGCUUCAGGAGCAAACAAAUAGAAUAUGAAAACUGUAUAUAUAUACAGAGAAAACAAAAAUAGGAACGCAAACUGUCAUAUUACUCCCAGGUGUGAAGAGCCAAAGCUAUUUUCAAGCAGUAUUAUAAGCUAGCUCUAGAUUUUACUCCAUAGUAAACAGAAUAGUUUUGUAAGGUAGCUCUAGAUUUUAUACGAUUCAAAAAAGCAGCAGAUGGACACAUGAUUGUACAACUGAUGCAUAGUCACCCUCUUCUUGGAAUAGCCCACGGCUUAUACAUAUAGAUGAAAAUUUCAUCCAAACAUGCCAGUGUUUUUAGGCCAUUAAAUGGAAAGUGAUGCAUUUUUUGUUUGUCAAGUCCCUAUUGACCCACAGGGCAAACAGUGGUGUUUUACCAGGCCAACUAUUUUCAAAAUUUCACUAAACAGAACCCAACACCCAAAAGUAAUAGAGGGACGUUCUCCUCAUUAGCAUACAGACUGCACAGAGGUGAGCUAUAUGGACUCUACAACCAGCAGCAAGUGCAAGAUGUGUAGUGUGUAUGCCUAGUUGCCUACCAAGUUCUACUUCAUUCUACUGGUCAGAACUCUCUAAGGCGUCCGCCUUGCCUUAUGCCUUACCGCUUAGGCGGUGAGGCGCCCCCCCCAGCGCCUUGCCUCGCCUUACUGCCUUAAAAACAUAGCUCAUCAGUUACCUACGCCAUCUCACAACGCCAAAAACAUCCAUUCAUGGCAGAGAAUAUAUCAUCCACCACCGCAACGGAAAAGGAAACAUAAACGAAUUAAAUGAACAUGUAAAGACAAUAAAAGAAAAUUGUGCUUAAAAAGAACCAGGUCCAUACGCCUUGAGAUGGUUCAACAAAGCAGUAGCAUGGCAAGGAUCAAGAUAGAACUUCAUGUCACGCUAUGGUCAUGCAUUACUGAAACGAAAAAAGGGACGUUGAAGAUAGCUGACCUCAAUGCAUAUUUUUUUGCUGAGGGGGGCAAGACUGCUACCAGAUUUUGUUUCAGAUUUCAGGUUUAACCAUCCACAAAAGUAAUUAGUAGUCUUAAGGUUCAGUUGCAAGCUCAAAGCUGUAAUCACCACAAGAUUGAGUGUAUGUAUAGCAGCUUAGUAAAGACAAACUGAGUAUAUGUAUAGCAGCUUAGUAAGGCAAAAUUACAAACAUACAUAGGUUGAUCAUGCAACGGAUAUGCCAA
rnacentral:lncRNA from 1 species